rnacentral:rRNA from 1 species
AUUGAACGCUGGCGGCAUGCCUUACACAUGCAAGUCGAACGGCAGCGCGGACUUCGGUCUGGCGGCGAGUGGCGAACGGGUGAGUAAUACAUCGGAACGUACCCUGUUGUGGGGGAUAACUAGUCGAAAGAUUAGCUAAUACCGCAUACGACCUGAGGGUGGAAGUGGGGGACCGCAAGGCCUCACGCAGCAGGAGCGGCCGAUGUCUGAUUAGCUAGUUGGUGGGGUAAAGGCCCACCAAGGCGACGAUCAGUAGCUGGUCUGAGAGGACGAUCAGCCACACUGGGACUGAGACACGGCCCAGACUCCUACGGGAGGCAGCAGUGGGGAAUUUUGGACAAUGGGGGCAACCCUGAUCCAGCAAUGCCGCGUGUGUGAAGAAGGCCUUCGGGUUGUAAAGCACUUUUGUCCGGAAAGAAAUCGCGCUGGUUAAUACCUGGCGUGGAUGACGGUACCGGAAGAAUAAGCACCGGCUAACUACGU